rnacentral:ncRNA from 1 species
AAGAAGUGAUAGCGGAAUCGUGGCUUGACGAACAGAAAUCAGAUACUAAGGCAUAUCAAGCGGACAAGUUGGCCGAGGACAACGAUGUUCCCAAAAUUGACCGUAAUCUUGAUGUGUAAAUCUGGCGAGUAAACGAUGAAA